GAAGUUAGCGGGGCUUCUUCUCCGGUUACCGUCAUUAUCUUACCGGUGAAAGAGCUUUACAACCCUAGGGCCUUCAUCACUCACGCGGCAUGGCUGGAUCAGGCUUGCGCCCAUUGUCCAAUAUUCCCCACUGCUGCCUCCCGUAGGAGUCUGGGCCGUGUCUCAGUCCCAGUGUGGCUGAUCAUCCUCUCAGACCAGCUAUGGAUCGUCGCCUUGGUAGGCCUUUACCCCACCAACUAGCUAAUCCAACGCGGGCCGAUCAUUUGCCGAUAAAUCUUUCCCCUUUCGGGCUCAUACGGUAUUAGCACAAGUUUCCCUGAGUUAUUCCGUAGCAAAUGGUACGUUCCCACGCGUUACUCACCCGUCUGCCGCUCCCCUUGCGGGGCGCUCGACUUGCAUGUGUUAAGCUGCCGCCAGCGUUCGUUCUGAACCAGGAUCAAAUCUCCAAA
rnacentral:rRNA from 1 species